rnacentral:rRNA from 1 species
CCUACGGGAGGCAGCAGUGAGGAAUAUUGGUCAAUGGCCGGGAGGCUGAACCAGCCAAGUCGCGUGAGGGAAGACGGCCCUACGGGUUGUAAACCUCUUUUGUCAGGGAGCAAGGUGCAGGUCGGGACCUGCUGUGAGAGUACCUGAAGAAAAAGCAUCGGCUAACUCCGUGCCAGCAGCCGCGGUAAUACGGAGGAUGCGAGCGUUAUCCGGAUUUAUUGGGUUUAAAGGGUGCGCAGGCGGAGGCACAAGCCAGCGGUAAAAUCGCGGGGCUCAACCCCGCGCCGCCGUUGAAACUGGGUGCCUUGAGUGCGCGAAGGGUAGGCGGAAUGCGUGGUGUAGCGGUGAAAUGCAUAGAUAUCACGCAGAACUCCGAUCGCGAAGGCAGCCUACCGGCGCGCAACUGACGCUCAUGCACGAAAGCGUGGGUAUCGAACAGGAUUAGAUACCCUAGUAGUC